AGCUGGUUAAAGCGCCUGUCUAGUAAACAGGAGAUCCUGGGUUCGAAUCCCAGCGAGGCCUCUUUAUUUCUUCCCCUAAACUUAGGUAAAUUCUUGUCACUAGUUAAACCUGACUUAGAUGUAUACCUAAUAAAGCAGCAAACCUUGAAUCUCGAUGUCUGAGGCACUUUGUAGAGGAACGUGGUGAUGGGUUGGAAAUAUUUACGAUGAAUUAGCUAAAUCUAUGCCAGAGACCAACCG
rnacentral:lncRNA from 1 species